UCGCCACUGUUUUUUUGAAUAUAUUAGAAAAGAAAAAAAGUAGAACAGAGCGGAAGUUCACUAGCAUCAAAUUAAUUUGCACUUUAGGAGUAAAUAUAUCGAAUAAUACGGUUCAAAAUUUUAACAUAUUUUUGAAAACAGUACAAAAGUGCAUCGAAAAGUGUGAAAUUGUGGGACAACUUAAAUUUAUAAGUAUAUUUUAUAGUUUGGUUUAUAAUCAAUGUAUCCACGAAGCUGCGAUUUUUGGAAAACACAACUAAAUUAAUCGUUCCAACACGUAAUGGAUGAAAAAUCGGGUAAGUG